rnacentral:misc_RNA from 1 species
CCUCUCUAUAUGCAUGUUGUAACUCCUCUCUCUACCAGCAUUAUACCUCCAGCCUCUCCUCCUUUCCCCCUCACUGUUAGUCUCAGUUUUGAAGCAAGUAGAGGCAGUAUGGUGGUCCGGGCUGUUUCUCUAUUAACCGCAGCAGCUCUGGCUUUACGCUACCAGCAGUUUCCUUUUCUUCCAUUCUACUACAAAGCUUUGUAUUAGCAACUUUAACUUGGAAAGAAGGGGGUGCCCUUUUGGUUUUUUUAAACCCACCCCUCUUAUUACUUUCCCGUUUAAAAGAAAGAAAAAAAAGAAGGAAAAAGCGAAAUCAACAAAUAAUUAUUAUAACAACAAUCGCAUCAAUAACUUGGUGACAGCAACCAUCAACAACAACGAAGCUAAUACAAACCAAAGUACCUCGAGUUCGAAUUGAAUCUGGACUGAAAAUAAAAUAGCUGAUCGAGGUAUUUGUUGAAAGCUGAAAUGAAAGCAAGAGAGAGGAAGAAAUACGAACACAUGCAAGAAAGCGAGAUCUGUGUACGGACGAUUAAUUAAAAUUAGUUUGGAUUUUUUAACUGACGAAAGGAUAUUUCAAAGAAGAAGAAAUAAGAAAUCUGUGGAGAAAUAUAUAUAUGAGCGACCAGGAAAUGGGUUCAUAAUAUACCAACUGCACUUGCAGGACAUACUUGUGUUGAUGUUUUAUUUUAAUAUACAUAUACACCCUGUAUAUCUACACACACCGUAAUCUGCACACGGAUUAUAUUCGUAUAUAUAUUUAUAUGUACACACGAUAUAUUUGAGUGCCGGCCUACUGAUAAAACAUAUAUGUGUGUAUAUACAUACAUGUUUACGCACAAUCUGCUGGGAAGAAAUAAAUAUUCGAGUUUUCUAACACAAACACCGACUUUAAAGAAUUAAUAGGAACCAACGUACUGACACAUUUUUUCACAUGCAAAACAUAAAAACCACCUUUACAUAUACAUAAACAGAUAAUUUAUAGAAUAUAUUAUUUAUAUAUGCAUCUAUCAACAACACUUAUUGUAGUAUUAUAUUAAUAGUGAUAGACUCGCCGGUUUUACUGUCAUAUGCUAGGUUUCUCUUCCCCUUUAGAAAUUACUAUAGCUAGUAUAAAUAGCGUAGUUAUUAGUAGGUAUUAAGUUUUGAUGGCCCACCCACGGUUUACCUUUCCGGAUUUUACCUGCUCAAGGAUAUUUACCUUCUAUUCGUGGACCACGUCUAUAUAAAGAAAAGAAAAACCCUAAGAAACGGACACCUGCAGUAGAAAGAGCGAAGUUUGUGUGAGUGUAUAUAUAUAUAUAUAUAUAUAUAUGUAUAUAUAUAUAUAUGCUGAUAUAUUUAUAUUUGAAUAAAGAUGUUAUCUUUUUGACUGACAAAAGGGGGGAAGAUUUGAAAUGAUAUGAAGGGAAAACAUGACUGUAGGGUUAGACUCCUAAGAUAGAUAAAUUUCCGGAUUAUUUAGUUUUCUGUUCAUAUUUAUUUUUCACCGAAAAAAUAUAUCACGACAGUAAAAAAGUCAUUGAAUAUUAAACCAAAGAAACAUACAUAUUUGUUUUAUACAUUCAUUGUUUUUCUCUAAUCAGAUUUUGGUAUUGUAAUUUUUUUUCUUUUCCAACACAUUUACCCCACACAUGUACAUACAUAAAUUGUUUGUACACACCACCUGAAACCUGGUUCCUUGUCUACAACACUAGGACAAUUUUUACACCCUCCAAUUAUUUAUAAUUAUAUAUACACACACAUACACAUACUACACUGACUGUGAAUGUAAUAGUUCAGUGUACAUACAUCAAUAGACCGAUACCUUGGUGAGGGCCCAUCUAUCUGGGCCGGGGCAAUGGCGAAAAUCGGAUUGAAACUUCUACCAGAAAGCAGAUGGACAGUCAGUCGGUCCUUUUUUUCGGUGACCUUAACUUUUAUUUGGACAAUCGGAUUCCUUACUUUAACCGUUAAAGGGUCUUCUGUUCACUUCAGAAAGUUCCAUUUCACUGUUGAGCCAAGUGAUGUGGUCACCAAUCGAGGUGAAGAUAUACAGUUACACUGCAAUGCCCAGCACGGAUAUAAUAAAACAAAUAUCUUUUGGAAAAAAGACAACGAACUCUUACAUACGAGACAGCAACUGAAAAAUGGCUCCUUGUAUAUACAAAACGUCCAACACAGCAAGUCCAAUGUUGGUGAUGUUGGUGAAUACCAAUGUUUUGCUGAAGUGCCUAGCGUUGGAACGAUUAUCAGCAAACCGGCUCAUGUACAAAUUGCACAUAUGGCCAAGAUGUUCUCAAUCACACCCGAGACGCUCAAGGUUUACCUGGGUGACAUAGCCAUGUUCCAAUGCUCCAUUGACGGUAUUCCUCAACCAAAAUACUCCUGGUACAAGAACAAUGUCCUAUUGAAACGAUCCAAUCACAUAAAAAUGUAUUCAGAUGGAUUUCUAGAAAUUACAAACGUGCGAGCAAUAGAUUUUGGAAAAUAUUAUUGUGAGGCCAAAAACAUGAAUACAAGUCGUCGUAGUAGACCGGCUGUUUUGCAAGAAAACACAGAUUUAGAAAGCAUCCGUAAAGGUGUGGCACCUUCGUUUGUAAUGAAGCCACAAGAUGCUGAAGUGAUCCGAGGUUCAUUAUUGGUGUUACACUGCGGGGCAAAUGGUAUUGAUAGAAAUGACGAAAGUCCGAAAAUCACAUGGCUGAAAGGUGGAGUUGAAUUAGACAAUUCCAACAAGACAUACAAAAUUGUCGGUACCGGUAGCUUAGUUAUUCCCAACGUUCAAGAGAACAACAAUGGCAUUUACACUUGCCGGGCAAGCAAUAUGGAGGACUCUAUAGAUGCCCCAGCUUCAGUAAACGUCCUCAGUCCCCCCCAAUUCAAGACAAAACCAAAGAAUGCUGUAGCUCAAGUGAACUCAGAACAGAUGUUUGAAUGUGAUAUAUACGGUGUCCCGCCGCCAAAAAUCUAUUGGAUGAAGGAUGGUAAAAUGAUAGAGACUGAUGACUACUUCAAAAUAGUUGAUCACAAGAACCUGCGCAUACUGGGUCUGCUGAAGGAAGAUGAAGGAAUGUACCAAUGUUUUGGCAAGAACUAUCUCGGUAGUAUUCAGGCCAGUGCUCAGCUGGUAGUGAGGCCACAUACAGACGAUUCCCAUCCCUUGACCCCAACACUGACCCACUCACCAACCAUCCCUCUAGGCCUGCAGAACCUGAACUCCGAUAGCUUGCCGUCAGAGCCAGUCGACCUACACGAAGUGAUCCGAGCCCCAAGCUUUGUCACGCUGUCAUGGAAACCACCCACCCACACUGGACCGAAGGAUACCAAAAUCAUCAGCUACUCUGUCUUCUGGAAAGAGAAAGAACGUGAAAGUCAUAAAAAGCGAAGGCGGAAAGGAGAAAUAAGAGAACGAGUUAUGAAUACAACCAGUUUGGAAGCAACAAUUCAACACCUAAAGCCGAAUACAGUUUAUGAGUUCCGAGUUCAAGCAUACAACUCUCAUGGCCCUGGAAAGGCCGUUGUUAUUGAAGUUGAAUCUGAAGAAGAAGUGCGUGUGCCAAGUCCUCCACGAAAUGCCAUUGCUGAAGCAGUGUCCCCUACAUCAAUAAGGGUGAAAUACGAACCACCAGAAGAGCCUAACGGAAAGAUUAGAUCCUAUAAAAUCAUCUACUAUGAAGUCGGAGCCAACAAAGAAGCCGCAAUAGAAGUACGAGGCCUGGAGUAUGUGUUGACGAACUUGAAACAGUUUCGUGAUUACAGCUUCAGAGUAGAAGCUCACAAUGAGAAUGGUGCGGGAAUGAGUACAGAGGAAUUUGUUGCCAAAACCAAAGCAGAUAUUCCUUCUGAUUCUCCAACAAACUUCACUCUGGAAGCAACAAGCUCAACGAGCAUCAUAGUCCGUUGGGAACCCCCACCAAAAGAUCACCAGAAUGGUCCAAUAGUUGGUUACAAGAUACGCUUUAAAAAGAAAGGCAGCCGCCGCGGUAAAACUGUCACCACAGCAAGUAAUGUGAAGUUCCAACCACUGACUGAUCUAGAAAAAGGCGCCGAAUAUUCAGUUCGUAUAGCUGCACUCUCAACCCUUGGCAUUGGUCCAUUCACAGACUGGCUUUUCACAAAAACGUAUGAUGAUGAUCUUGAUGAAUCUCAUGUUCCUGGAAAACCUUCUAAAGUUCGAACCGCUACUGAAGCCAACUCAAUCUCGGUGCGAUGGGCUCCACCCGUUGACAGCAGCAAGACAUUAGUAAGGGGUUACACUGUUACCUACGGCAAGGGUAUACCAGAUGUUAUGCGAGUCAAACUUGGUCCUCAACAACGUGUUUAUAAAAUCAAAAAUCUUCAACCAGCAUCUUCUUAUGUUAUUAAAGUCAUGGCCACCAACAAGAUGGGUGAUGGGCCACCAAUAUAUGCCCAUGUAAAAACAGAAAAAGAGUCAGAGAUUGACCUCGCUACUCCAAUGAUGCCUCCAGUCGGAUUGAAAACAAUUGUUCUAUCAUCUCAAACAAUUGUACUCACAUGGACUGACUCGACCUUGAGUCGUGCUCAGCGCAUCACGGAUAAUCGUUACUACACGGUACGCUACUCACCUGUCUAUAACAACAAGAAGUAUCGCUACAUCAAUUCAACAGACCUCAAUGCACACAUAGACCACCUGAAACCAAAUACACAGUACGAGUUCUCAGUGAAAGUUACCAAAAACCUUCGUAAGAGUACUUGGAGCAUGAGUGUCGUCAACACAACUCAGGAAUCAGCUCCUGGAGGUAUACCCCGAGAUUUAACCCCAGCUCCAGUGGAGGGUAACCCACUGUCUAUUACAUUAAGUUGGCAACCACCACCACGACCAAACGGUCAACUAACAGGCUAUUUAAUUUUCUACACCACCGAUUCCCACCAAGACGACCGAGAUUGGGUUGUGCACAAUGUCGAUGGAGACAAACUGUCCUCCACAAUCAAAGACCUCACCCCAGACACAACUUAUUUUUUCAAAAUGCAAGCUCGCAACAAUAAGGGAUAUGGUCCAAUGUCCCCUACUGUUGUGUACAGAACAUCAAAAGCUGAUGGUACUGGUGGGGGUUUGGUACAAGUCCCAGACUUGCCUCCUGAUAUUCAGCAAUUUGACUUCAAGUAUAAACCAGGCCGCAGUUUUUUACCUCCCGACCCAAAUGAGCCAAGAGGUGUUAACAAAGAACCAAACGAAGAUGAGAAUGAUGAUUCUGUUCCUACCAAUGUUAUGAUUAUUAUUAUUGCCUGUGUUAUUGGGGUAACAUUCUGCAUUGCCGUUGUGGCUGUUGCAAUUGUCAUCUGCAAGAAGAAGGAAUACAGAAACAAACGGAGUUCUGGGACUUACGCAUCUCCUGCUAAAGGCAAGACGCCAAAAGCACCUACUACAAAAGAUGUAAAGCCACCAGACCUCUGGAUCCAUCAUGAUCAAAUGGAAAUGAAGAACUUGGAUAAGUCAGAAAACAGAGAAUCAUCCGCACCUACUCCAGCUCCCUCUCAGAGAUGUGGGGAGAGCUCCAAAUGUGAAGAUUCAUCCUUGAUGGAUAUGGAGAAACGCAGAAAUUCAUUAGUGGGAGACCCGAGUUAUCUAUCACCAGCUCCUGAUGAAAGGUAUCCUCGUAGCAUCAUCCGUCCAAAACCUAUUAUGAUUUCUGUGGACCCAACACAACCAAUGUCUCGAGAUCGCCUGCAAGUAAGAGCUGUUCCUCAACAAAACACUCGAGAUACCACAUCUGGGCUCAUGUGCAAGCUGAGUUCUCUACCGUUGCUCACUGAAAGAAACUUAGAUUUGCCAGCCCAUCUGGAUGCUAUGGGGUUUGUCGACCCCAACUACUAAACAGGCUGUGGCCCGUGUGGUGUGUGCGCGUGUAUGCUGUCUACCAACGCCUCCACAUCAUACACAUGAGAAAGCUUCCUUUGUUCACUACUACUACUACAAAUACUACUACUACUACUACUUCUACUACUUCUACUACUUUGUAAAAAGAUGUCUUAAAUAUGAAAUCUUUAAGUACCGAGGAAUUAACAGCAGAGAUGGCAAAUUUGGAGGGCCUGAUGAAAGAUUUAAAUGCCAUAACCCAACAGGAAUUCGAAUGCUGAACUCUUCAUUAGGCCUGACACAUCCUUCAUGCGGACAUUCUG